AAACUUGCGUUGAAGAAGAAAAGUAGCAAUGUGAAAUGCUGAAGAGAGCCGGCGGUUGGUGCGAGCCGGUGCAGGAAACAAUGUGAAUGGGCUUCUGAGCUCCGGACUGAACGAUUAGUAGGCUCCGGCGUACGUCUUACGUUAAGAAGACAGGCAGAUGAUUCUGCCGUUAAAGUGGGCUGCGAAAUGUGCAGCCAAUAAAGGUGGUACCACGGCUCCCCGUCCUUUGA
rnacentral:ncRNA from 1 species